AAAUAAGAAAUAAAUUAUUAUAAUUAGUUUCGACCUAACCUCUGGCUCUACGAGCCCUUAUUUU
rnacentral:tRNA from 1 species